GUCUAUAUGCCCAGCAGCUCCAAGCAAAGAGAAUAAAAAAUGAGAAUCAUCCUUUUCAUCUGAGGAUAACUCACAAUACUCAUGUCAUGUUUUCCGACAGGUAUACAAGCACCUAGAAUUUAGAAUGCUGAAGUGUUCUCAGUGCACUGUCUGCAGAUGAAGAAGCAGCGUGUGCAUGUAGAGUUGCUCGUACCCAAAGGACAAGAACAGUCAGCUGUGAUGUGACUGGACUGAAUGAAGAAUGAGCAAAUGUAUGAAACUUUCUCUACAUGAAAAGAAUGUGGAAUUCUGUGUUUCUUUUGGAUGAAGAGGGGAGAGAACUCAUAAAGAAAGUGUGUGAAUUUUCCUGGGUAAUUUUUGUCUGUGUUUGUUGUUUUUUUUAAUCUUCAACAAACAGAAAAUCAAAAUCACUUUUCCUCAUUUUGGUUUUCAACUUCAUUCUUUCUGCUUAUUCAACAGUGUAGCAAAGGCAGUCAGAGACAGAAAAAGAUUUAAAUACCUGAAUAUUCAAACAUUUGAGGUUUUUUUUUUUUUUCCCAACAACUUUGAAUAUUAGGUUGGAAAUGUAUUAAACUUUUUAACCCAGGGGUCCAAAAACCCUACCUUUCAGAAGUUUAAAAAAAUCUGUUUGUUUUUUUUUUUCCCCACUAGAAAUAGAUAAUCAUUCAAUACAUUUAGG
ensembl:lncRNA